rnacentral:rRNA from 1 species
GAUGAACGCUGACAGAAUGCUUAACACAUGCAAGUCUUUGGCGAAGCUGUGCUUGCACCGCCUAGCCAAGGCGGACGGGUGAGUAACGCGUAAGGAACUUGCCCUGCAGUCAGGGAUAACAGACGGAAACGACUGAUAAGACCUGGUAAAGUCAGGCGGACUCAUGUCCAGCCUGAUGAAAAGAGAUGCUGCAGGAGAGCCUUGCGUCCUAUUAGCUUGUUGGUGGGGUAACGGCCCACCAAGGCGAUGAUAGGUAGCCGGCCUGAGAGGGUGGACGGCCACAAGGGGACUGAGAUACGGCCCUUACUCCUACGGGAGGCAGCAGUGGGGAAUAUUGGACAAUGGGGGCAACCCUGAUCCAGCAAUUCUGUGUGCACGAUGAAGGUUUUCGGAUUGUAAAGUGCUUUCAGCAGGGAAGAAAAAAAUGACGGUACCUGCAGAAGAAGCGACGGCUAAAUACGU